AUUGGAACCCCCCACCAUUUUUGAAUCCCUCCUUGGAGCAAUUACCUCCAAACUCAAUCCCAGCCUUUCCUUUGUAGUAUGGAACCUUGUAUACAAUUUCAGAGAUAUCCAUACACUUACACACAAGUUAUUGUCUAGAAACUAGAAAAAUACUUGUUUUUGGCCCUUUUUUGGCCCCUAAUUCCUACAUGUUUAGGGCAAUUAACCCCAAACUCAAUCCCAGCCUUCCCUUUGUUAUAUGGAACCUUGUGGUAGAAUGUCAGAGAGA